rnacentral:tRNA from 1 species
GAGGGUAUAGCUCAGUGGUAGAGCGUGUGCUUAGCAUGCAUAAGGUCCUGGGUUCAAUCCCCAGGAUCUCCU